UACGUAGGGUGCGAGCGUUGUCCGGAAUUAUUGGGCGUAAAGAGCUCGUAGGCGGUCUGUCACGUCGGCUGUGAAAACCCGGGGCUCAACCCCGGGCCUGCAGUCGAUACGGGCAGGCUAGAGUUCGGUAGGGGAGACUGGAAUUCCUGGUGUAGCGGUGAAAUGCGCAGAUAUCAGGAGAACACCGGUGGCGAAGGCGGGCUCUGGCG
rnacentral:rRNA from 1 species